GCUCUUAAAUCAUGUCUAGUCUUAUCUAUAGUGGUCAAAGUGAUCCACGUCGAAUUCAGUGAUAUCCCUGAAUCACAUCUUCAGCCUUUUCAUGCCAUAGCACUCGCCAUGAACCCUAGCACCCAAAACUCUACCUUACUUGCUAGCUUAAGCCCCGCCACCUCAAUGGCGUCCACACCCCCGACAACACGACCACCGCCCUCUGCUCUACUAACUCGACCCUGGCCUCUCGCCCCUUAAGCAACAUUGAUUGUGUGCUU
rnacentral:lncRNA from 1 species